UUCCGGUUGAUCCCGCCGGACCCGACUGCUAUUUGGGUGAGGAUAAACCAUGCGAGUUGUAUGGGAUACCUAAAUUUCCCAUAGCAAACUGCUUAGUAACACAUGAUCAACUUGCCCUAUGGAGAAAUAUAACCUCGGGAAACUGAGGAUAAUGCUUCAUAGUUGAAUAGGCUUGGAAAAGUUUUUCAAUGAAAGGGAUAAGAAAAAUGGUUCUUAUCUGCCAUAGGAUAGGAUCGUGCUCGAUUAUGGUUGUUGGUGAGGUAACGGCUCACCAAGCCGAUAAUCGAUAGGGGCCGUGAGAGCGGGAGCCCCAAGAUGGGUACUGAGACAGCGACCCAGGCCUUACGGGGCGCAGCAGGUACGAAACCUCCGCAAUACACGAAAGUGUGACGGGGUUACCCAAAGUGUUCUUAUAGAACUGUGGCAGGUGAGUAAUGUCCCCUGCUAGAAAGGAGAGGGCAAGGCUGGUGCCAGCCGCCGCGGUAAAACCAGCUCUUCAAGUGGUCGGGAUAAUUAUUGGGCUUAAAGUGUCCGUAGCCGGUUUAGUAAGUUCCUGGUAAAAUCAGGUAGCUUAACUAUCUGCAUGCUAGGAAUACUGCUAUACUAGAGGGCGGGAGAGGUCUGAGGUACUACAGGGGUAGGGGUGAAAUCUUAUAAUCCUUGUAGGACCACCAGUGGCGAAGGCGUCAGACUGGAACGCGCCUGACGGUGAGGGACGAAAGCCAGGGGAGCGAACCGGAUUAGAUACCCGGGUAGUCCUGGCCGUAAACGAUGCAUACUAGGUGAUGGUACGGCCAUGAGCCGUGUCAGUGCCGUAGGGAAACCGUUAAGUGUGCCGCCUGGGAAGUACGGUCGCAAGGCUAAACUUAAAGGAAUUGGCGGGGGAGCACCACAAGGGGUGAAGCCUGCGGUUCAAUUGGAUUCAACGCCGGGAAUCACUAGUGCGGCCG
rnacentral:rRNA from 1 species